GAGGCUCGCGGUGGUCGCUGGCGUUGAUCCACGGCGAGGUAGGGGGAUCGGAGGGUACCUACGGGUUCACUGUGUCUUUCCGCGUCGGUGGGUGCUGGACUUGGCCGUCGGCGAGCACCACGUCGACGGUGGCCUUAACUCCGGCGGACGGCGGUUCGAGCGAGGAUGAUACUCUCCGACGGGAGCUGCAACCUUCAAAUUAGGGCGCGAGUUAGAGAAGUGGAUGCACUAGAAGGCUACUGGCAUGGUUUGAGAGGCGGGGGUGCACGCACUUUAGCCAAUCUUGCCGGAUCCCGAAGCGGGUCGGGGCGGCCGGAGUCGGGGAAGAAGACCUCCCCGAGGUCUCCCCAGUGGCUGGGCGUGGUUCUGGUGAUGUGGAGUGAUGGUGCUUGGUCGAAGGCGAGCUCGGGGUCGCUAUUUAUAGCCGGCCCGAGGCAGUUGCCCUGAACGGAUAACUCUGGCGGGCGAUUACGGCGAGGCAGUGGUCGGGAUGGAGGUUUAGGUGAUUGGGCAUCAACGUGAUGGUCCACUGGUUCCGUUCAAGGGCUAAACUUGGUAUGGUAUGGGUGAUACUCCAAGCUCUCGACGGAACGGCCUCACGGGCACGCCGGCGGCAGAGAGCGUGCUCUGUGCUGUCCAGGCCACGACGAUGGCUCUGCAGCACGCACAGGGACGGGGACGGCCACGCGGAGGCUUCUGGUGGCUUGGGCGGUGCUGGACGGCGCCGUCCCUCGCUGCGCCUCUUUGGCAGCCGCGGCAAGUGCUGCUGCCACCGCUCACGGGGCGAUGCACCUCUGCCAGCUCGCCGCCGACACCCGCAACCGUCCAGGCGACCGUGCGGCGCGGUGGAUAAGAAGGAGGAACAAGGAGCAAGGCGCCACUGCAGUUACUGGCGAGAUCGACGAGAGGUUCUGAAGAAAACGACACUGACGACUGAAACUGUUCUCUGAAACUCUGAACUUGACAGUAACAGUGCACGCCAGCUGUUCGACGAAAGGUUUUGGGCACGAGGAAAAUUUUUCUGGAGCUGGGACUUGGUGAGGUGACCUCUUGAUGCAUCUAGAGGCUGCCUGAUUUUUCUCAGAUUUUUAGGAGAAGAAUACAAAUGAAUUUCACCAAAAUUGGCAAAUAUGGUCCAAACUUGCAGCAAGCACAUUUUGAAAAUUUUGAAUUGUGGACCAGUGGAUCUUCAUGGAUCUUGGUUGAGGGUUCUAAGGACUAGCCAGGGAAACUUGUUUGGAAUCAAAACCCAAAGGAAAUCUAGUGGUUCCUUUGCAAAUCUCUAAGGGCCAAAAUAGAAGACAAAAGAUUUUUGAUUCAAAAUAAAUGGAAAUAAAUCCAAGGGGAAGUUUAACUUGCUGGAUUUGAAGCUUGACUUGACACAAAGUGGGAAGAUGGCUUUUGGGAGGGAGAUUUCAACUUAGGUCAUGGCAAGAGAUAAUUUUUGAAAGGGGAAGGAUCACUCCAUAAGCCAUAGGGUUAUUUUUAAAAGAAAAGAUCUCAAAAACUUUCCCAAAGAAAAACAUUUGUGUUGAGUCAACACAAGAUGAAAAACCCUCAAGACCAAAGAUCAAGUUUUGGAUGAACCCAAAGAAAAUACUUGUCAUAAAAGAAAAUUUUGAGAAGGAGAGUCCUUUAGAAAAAAUAAUUUAGACCACCUCCUUCAAAUCAAAUAAAGAAUUUGAUAAAACCAAAUAAAAUAUUUGGGGUGUUACAUGUUGGCCAGUAUUUGUUGUGCCUUAUAAUCUUCCACCGAAAAUGUGCAUGAAGCAGAGUAACCUGAUCCUUGCACUAGUUAUUCCCGGUCCAGAUCAUCCAGGAAAGAACCUAAACGUUUUUAUGUAGCCUCUAGUUGACGAACUUGAUGAUUUGUGGAGAAAUGGUGUAGAAACUUAUGAUAGUUAUCGAAAGCAAAAUUUCACCUUAAAGGCAGCUUUGCUUUCGACUAUUCAUGACUUUCCAGCUUAUGGAUUAGUAGCAUGCUGGAGCACUCAUGGAAAGCUUGCUUGCCCUAUAUGUGGAUCUGACAUAAAGACAUUCUCAUUGAAGAAUGGGAGAAAGCCAUGCUGGUUUGACUGCCAUAGGAGAUUCCUUCCCACUGACCAUGCAUUUCGUAGGAGUGUGAAACGUUUUCGCAAGAAAAAAACAGUUUUAGAUCCUCCACCAAAGCACUUGUCCGGAGAAGAGGUGUAUGAAGAACUCCAAAGUCUUGUCCAUGAUGAAACUGGCAAGAGUAAAUUUGAGGGGUUUGGGAAGGAGCACAAUUGAUAGCUAUAAGUGGUUUGUGGCAGCUAGAGUAUUUUCGGAAGUUGCUGCUUCGCCAUAACAUUGAUGUAAUGCACAAUGAGAAAAAUGUAUCUGAGGCUUUACUAAACACAUGCCUUGAUAUUCCUGAGAAAACUAAGGAUAACAACAAAGCACGCCAGGAUGUUGAUUUAUAUUGUGAUCGACCAAAGCUACACCUGAACAAGAAUUCAAGGGGUGUGUGGAAGAAACCUAGAGCAAAAUAUUGUGUCAGCAAGGAAGAUAGAAUGACCAUCCUUAAGUGGUUUAAAGAAGUGAAGUUUUCUGAUGGGUUUGCUGCUAAUUUGAGUAAAAUUGUCAACUUGAGUAAAAACAAAUUCAUUGGGCUGAAAAGCCAUGACCACCACAUCAUCAUGGAGCGCCUCCUGCCAGUUGCCCUACGAGGCUUCAUCCCAGAACCUGAAUGGAAGGUCAUAGCAGAGUUAAGUUUUUUUAUCGGCAAUUGUGUGCCAAAGAAAUUGCUCCAAAACGGAUGCGUGGACUUGAGGAGGAGGUUCCUGUUCUAUUAUGCAAGCUUGAGAAAAUGUUCCCACCAGGCUUCUUCAAUGUAAUGCAACACCCGAUAGUGCAUCUUCCAUAUGAGGCAAGGGUUGGCGGCCCUGUGGCAUAUCGUUGGAUGUAUGUUUUUGAGAGGGCAAUGCACUAUCUUCGUUUAAAAGUGUGAAACAAGGCAAGAGUGGAGGGUUCAAUCGUUGAAGCUUGUAUUGUGCAGGAGAUCACGAAUUGUGUUUCUCUUUACUUUAGUGAUCAUGUUCGCACUAUAUGGAAGAAGAAUCCUCGAUAUAAUAAUGGAGGAACACGCGUGCAGAAUGAUGGUUGCACCUUAGAUGUGUUUGAGCAUGUAGGAAACCUACAUGGGAGGCCUAUUGCCCGAGAACUAUCGCGUGAAGAGUUGAAUGCAGCAAGGUUGUACAUUUUGACUAACUGCUCUGCUGUUGAUAGAUUUCGUGAAACAUUUGAAGAUGAAAAAUAUGCAAGUCAUCCAAACUUGACAUCGGAGGGCCUUGAUGAAAUGAUGGCAUCCGAAUUUGUGGAAUGGUUCGAGAUUGCUUGCAAAGAAGAUCCCAAUUCUGAUGAGGACUUGUGGAAUUUAGCUAAUGGAUGCAGCUCUAGAGCCUAUUCCUAUAGCUCCUAUGAUGUGAAUGGCUUUCGCUUUAGAUCAGAGAUA